GCCGGCGUGGCGGAAUGGCAGACGCGGCGCACUCAAAAUGCGCUGUCCUCACGGGCGUGCGGGUUCGAGUCCCGCCGCCGGCACGA
rnacentral:tRNA from 1 species